GACGAACGCUGGCGGCGUGCCUAACACAUGCAAGUCGUACGGGCUUGGGGGGCAACUCUCAAGUCAGUGGCGAACGGGUGCGUAACACGUGAGCAACUUGCCCUAUGGUGGGGGAUAGCCGGCCCAACGGCCGGGUAAUACCGCAUAUGGCGCUGAGGUCACAUGGCCUUAGUGGGAAAGCGGCCGCAAGGUCGCGCCAAAGGUGGGGCUCGCGACGUAUCAGCUAGUGGCGGGGUAACGGCCCACCAAGGCUACGACGCGUAGCUGGUCUGAGAGGAUGGCCAGCCACAUUGGGACUGAGACACGGCCCAGACUCCUACGGGAGGCAGCAGUGGGGAAUAUUGCGCAAUGGGCGAAAGCCUGACGCAGCGACGCCGCGUGUGGGAUGACGGUCUUCGGAUUGUAAACCACUGUCGGGAGGGACGAAGCUCUGACGGUACCUCCAAAGGAAGCACCGGCUAACUCUGUGCCAGCCG
rnacentral:rRNA from 1 species